rnacentral:tRNA from 1 species
UAUAGGGAGACCUACCUGUUGAAUUUUGAAAGCGAAUCGGCAACGAUAAGUGAGUAAUAAAACGACUGGUCAUCCCAAAGGUCGUUCGGAUAUUAGAUGUUGACUUUCAAAGCUAUAUUGGUUCGGGUUCAUAUGGGCUAUUAGCUCAGCUGGUUAGAGCGCACCCCUGAUAAGGGUGAGGUCCCUGGUUCGAGUCCAGGAUGGCCCACUCGAAUCUGAGAGAGGGGGUUUAGCUCAGUUGGUAGAGCGCCUGCUUUGCAAGCAGGAUGUCAGCGGUUCGAGUCCGUUAACCUCCACUGAUUUGAGAUAGAGAUAUCAGCAACUUAUCUAUUGUCUCUAAUGAUACUAGAGAGCCUGCUGGGAUUAGUCUCAGUGAGAACCUUGAAAACUGCAUAGAAACUUGUCAGGUAGUCGUUGAUUAGGACUUUGAUUAGCCCCUAAUUGACGAAAAUAUCACAGACACCAAUGUAAGUUUGCGAAGAUUAAAGUGGUCAAGCUACAAAGGGCUGAU